rnacentral:sRNA from 1 species
AGUUAAAGUAUGGAGUUCCUCUAAGGGAA